GCUGGAGUGGCCGAACCAGGUUAAGGCGCCAGAUAAAAGCUGGUGGUCGUAAGACCGUCGGGGUUCAAAUCCCCGCUCCAGCG
rnacentral:tRNA from 1 species